UACUCAUUACUCACAAAACCAAAAGACAGGGGCGGCCUGGGUCUGCCCGAUGUUGAAACAUACCACAACGCAAUACUGCUAUCCAGGAUAUACGACUGGUCCCUUCCACAAUCCGGGAAACAAUGGGUGAACUUAGAAGACACCUUUUUCAGAGUACCUAUUUACACGAUACCCUGUCACAAAUCAGGGCAAGUACUAAUGCUCCACAACCCACAUCCUACCAUCACACCGACCCUUCGCAUGUGGGCGACCAUACGCACGCACAAUCUGAUGUCUCCUUACCCAUCGCCACUAUACCCGCUCACACACAACCCCCUAUUCCAGCCGGGAGUAGACGGCAAAUCUUUCCAGG